UGAAGAGUUUGAUCAUGGCUCAGAUUGAACGCUGGCGGCAGGCCUAACACAUGCAAGUCGAACGGUAACAGGAAGCAGCUUGCUGCUUUGCUGACGAGUGGCGGACGGGUGAGUAAUGUCUGGGAAACUGCCUGAUGGAGGGGGAUAACUACUGGAAACGGUGGCUAAUACCGCAUAACGUCGCAAGACCAAAGAGGGGGACCUUCGGGCCUCUUGCCAUCAGAUGUGCCCAGAUGGGAUUAGCUUGUUGGUGAGGUAACGGCUCACCAAGGCGACGAUCCCUAGCUGGUCUGAGAGGAUGACCAGCCACACUGGAACUGAGACACGGUCCAGACUCCUACGGGAGGCAGCAGUGGGGAAUAUUGCACAAUGGGCGCAAGCCUGAUGCAGCCAUGCCGCGUGUAUGAAGAAGGCCUUCGGGUUGUAAAGUACUUUCAGCGGGGAGGAAGGUGUUGUGGUUAAUAACCGCAGCAAUUGACGUUACCCGCAGAAGAAGCACCGGCUAACUCCGUGCCAGCAGCCGCGGUAAUACGGAGGGUGCAAGCGUUAAUCGGAAUUACUGGGCGUAAAGCGCACGCAGGCGGUCUGUCAAGUCGGAUGUGAAAUCCCCGGGCUCAACCUGGGAACUGCAUUCGAAACUGGCAGGCUUGAGUCUUGUAGAGGGGGGUAGAAUUCCAGGUGUAGCGGUGAAAUGCGUAGAGAUC
rnacentral:rRNA from 1 species